AUGCAAGGCCCACCCAUCUCUCUAGCUUCAUCGGGUCCUGAACCCCCACCCUCCAGCUCACCAGUUCUUUGGCUGCUCCUUAUUCAUUUCCUAGUGAGUCUUUGGACAGGGCUUCCUGCGGUCCGCCCUCUCCCUUCUCCUUUUUUUAACCUGGCAGAUUCCUACUUACCCUUCAGACGCAGCUCAGAAGUCACCUUCUCUGGAAAGGAAGCCUUCCUGUCUCCCUGUGCUCUGCUCCUGGAGCACGUGUUCCGUGACUUUGUUAGUAAAACGUGUGGGUCUUCUCUGUGGCCGGCUGUUCCUUUGCUCACACUGCAUGCUCUUCACGACAAGGGUUCUGCCCUGUUGACUUCUCUCCUCCCAGCGCUGGACAUGGCCCUUCUCCGAAGAGGAUGUGGAAAACCGACCUGUGGAACCACAGAGCGCCUCUGUGCACGAGAAGCAUCACCCUUUGGCUGUAGCUUUAUAAUCUUGCAAAGUAUCGGAAUGUUGAGUCUACGGAAGGUAGAGUUCAAGGCUCCAGAUUCACCUUUAUCUCAACCUUCUUUCAGGAAGAGGAUUUCUUCACACACAGCUGGCCCGGAUUCAGGCGUGAGCUGAGUCAUCGUGUCACAUGUUUCAGAGCCACCUGUCUGACCCAUGCACUGCAGCAGCUCUCCAGAAUGUCAGGGCUCCUCAUUACUUGGAGGUGGGUGUCAGCUGCCUACCACCGUCCACACCCCGAACCAACCUGAAAUUCCCACGCUGAGCCAGUCCCGGGGGGGGCAGGGCUGGCAGAUGGGUGUAGCUCCCUGCACCCUGCAGACCUUCUAAUUGACGGAUAAGCUCUCCUCCACCGAGCUCAGUGGAGGCCUUGGCCUCCCUGUCAAGGCAGCGCUCCUGCAAGCAGCCCCUCCCAACUGGUCAGACUUGGCACCAGAGCUUAAAGCAUAUUGAAACCCCAAGGUUAGAUUGGGAAAGUUUGGCUAUUUUCUGGGUGAAGAGAAGUGUCUCCUGAAGGCUACUUUUAUUUGGAGAUAUAUACAUAUAUAUAUGUAUAUAAAAUGAUUUACUGGCAGGGUUAAGGGAAACUUGGGGGACUUUGGAAGGUAAUAUGUCUACACACUGAGUCCAAAAUUCAAAAGGUACAAAAGCAAUGUGAAAUUUUCUUUCCCCCCACCCCAGUUCCCCUCCCUAGAGGCAACCCAUAGCAUGGGCAUUUUGUGUGUGUGUUUGUCCGUUGUGUGUAGGUGUAUGUAUAGGCACACGUGCCCUCUCACGCGCAGAGGCUGUAUCAGUUUACUGGGGCUGCUGCAGGCUAGAACUCCAGGGUCAGGGUGUGGACGGGGUUGGUUCCUUCUGAAGACUGAGAGAGGGCUUGUCCAGGCCUCACUUCUGGCUUCUGGGGUCUCGCUGGCGAUCUUUGACAUUCCUUGGCUGGUAGAUGAGUCACCCCAGCCUCUGCCUUCAUGUGGUGUCCUCUCUGUGUGCGUGUCUGUGUCCAAAUUUCCCCCUUUUUACAGGGACAGCAGUGGUAUUUAAUUGGGGCCCAAUUGCCUGGCCUUAUUUUAACUUAAUUACCUCUGUAAAGGCCUUAUCUUCCAUGUAUGGUUGCAUCUGGCGGUCCUGGGGGUUAGGAAUUCACCGUAUGAAUUUGGGGUUGACAAUUCAAUGCAUGUAACACCGGCGUUUAGGUAUAUGCCAGUUUUAAAGUAAAUGAUAGCAUAUACUCUAAACACUAUUCUGCAUCUUGCUUUCUUUAAUAUUCUUGGGUAUUUUUCUCUAUCAAUACAUAGAGACUUUCUUUCCUUUUCUUUCUUUUUUUUGGUCUUUUUUAGGGUCGCACCCACGGCACAUGGAGGUUCCCAGACUAGGGGUCCAAUCGGAGCUGCAGCCGCCAGCCUCUGCCAUAGUCACAGCAACUCGGGAUCCAAGCCACAUCUGCAACCUACACCACAGCUCAUGGCAACACCCGAUCCUUAACCCAAUAAGCAAGGCCAGGGAUUGAACCCAUGUCCUCACAGAUGCUAGUUGGGUUCGUUAAGCGCUGAGCCACCACAGGAACUCCGAGGCUUUCCUUUUUAAUGGCCACAUGGACUACCCAUGGGAAUACAAUGAUUUAUUUAACGCAUCUGUUCGUAAUGGACAUGAAGCUUCUUUCAGUCCUUUGCUAGUACAAGUUUUCACUGAAUGUCUUGGAGCACUUUGGGUGCAAGUGUAGCUGUAAUACAGAUUCUUCCAGGUGGGAUUGCUUGUUCGUGUGUAAAUGCAUUAUGAUUUUAAGAUGCACGCAAAGCGCUCUUAAUCGCCAAGAUAAAGGGCAGAGGCGAUAGGCUUAAGGGAUUAGCCAGUUGUCACAGUGGAUCCCUUUCGGGUUAAAAUACAAGACUAGAAAGAGCCCACAGAAGGAGAAACGAGGCCUUUCUAAAACUGGCACUUGUGAACCCCCAGUUUGAAAUACCACCCUUAGGAGUUCCCUUCUUGGCUCAGCAGUUAACAAACCCGACUUGGAUCCAUGAGGAUGUGGAUUCGAUCCCUGGCCUCACUCAGUGGAUUAAGGAUCCAGUGUUGCCCUGAGCUUGGUGUAGCUUGCAGAUGUGGCUCGGAUCCCGCGUUGCUUUGGCUGUGGCGAAAGCUGGCAGCUGUAGCUCUGAUUCAACACCUAGCCUGGGAAUCUCCAUAUGCUGCGGGUGUGGCCCUAAAAAGCAAAAAAGAAGGAAAUGCCACCCUUAGUCUGUACAUGAAAAGGCAUUUGUCUGAGUCUGCAGUAAGACUAUCUCCCCUCUCUGAGCCCGCAGACUGGGGCUGGGUCCAGGGACAGUGUCUGCCUGAGCUUUCAGUCCCAGGUCCCAGGGGAGGGGCAAAAGGGGUGGGGAACUGGAGAGCAGAGGGCAGCGCUCCAAACACCAAAGAUGCUGCAGCUGAAGGGCAGCCUUAAGGCGGUCCAAUCCCCAUUCUUCUUCCUCCUGGGGACCCUUCCUGGGCAGUGUCUGUUUAACUGCUAAGGAAUGCUAAACCUUUUGGCCAGGAAUCCCCGUUCCGUUCCGGCAAGGGCUCUCACCUUGCUGAAGGUGUGAGGGCAUCUGCAGGCAGUCAUCCGACAACGGCAUGGCACAGCUUUUCAGCGCAACUGCCAGCUGGAAACUUGGAAGCCCUCCCUCAGCGUUUGCUUGUACGUAGGAGUCUGACUCACGGAGGUUAACUUGUCCCGGCUCUUUGCAGCCCUCUCCUCAUAGAAUCCCAGGGUUUUCGUAUUGUCCAGGGAUCCAGAAGCUUGUCCUUUGGAGAAGCCAAAGGCCAACGAAGUGAUGCGUGUGAGACCCACUCAACACCCACUCCUGAAUCCUGGAGUUACCGUUGUGAUGAAAACAGGCCCUUGCUCUGCUCUCCUCCCAGCCCGGCGGAGGAAACAGCCAUGAGCGAACAAUUUGCAUUCGUUCACUUGCAUAAAUAAAGAAAUGAACAGAUGUGAAAGCUGUGUGAGC
ensembl:lncRNA